UACCGGCAGCACGAGUGAUGGCCGCUCUUAUUGGGCCUAAAGCGUCCGUAGCCGGCCAGUCAAGUCCGUUGGGAAAUCGGCGCGCCUAACGCGUCGGCGUCCAGCGGAAACUGACUGGCUUGGGGCCGGAAGACCUGAGGGGUACGUCCGGGGUAGGAGUGAAAUCCUGUAAUCCUGGACGGACCACCGGUGGCGAAAGCGCCUCAGGAAGACGGACCCGACGGUGAGGGACGAAAGCUAGGGUCUCGAACCGG
rnacentral:rRNA from 1 species